rnacentral:rRNA from 1 species
GUACAACUUUGAGCGGUGGAUCACUCGGCUCGUGCGUCGAUGAAGAGCGCAGCCAGCUGC